rnacentral:lncRNA from 1 species
UAGCUGAUACCUUAACUACCUAUCCAGGUAUUUGUAGAUCUGGCGUGCGUCAGCAGCGUAGUCCAGCAGGAAUCCAACCUGUGUGCUGCUCUCUCUCUCUCUCUCUCUCUCCAAACCCUUCCCCUCUCUCUCUCUCUCUCUCUCUCUCCAAACCCUUCCCCUCUCUCUCUCUCUCUCUCUCUCUAAACCCUUCCCCUCUCUCUCUCUCUCUCUCUCUCUCCAAACCCUUCCCCCUCUCUCUCUCUCUCUCUCUCUCUCUAAACCCUUCCCCUCUCUCUCUCUCUCUCUCUCUCCAGCUCCAAACCAAACCCAGUCUAGGUAUUAGUAAACAAGGCUUUAUUUUGACUGUACAGACAGUUAGUGCAGAAUACACAAAGCUCUUAUCAGAGUGAAUAUAUUACAGAAGAACAGCGACCACUGUUUCAGGGUCUGGAAAAUAAAAUAACAUAAACUCUUUAAUCCUAUUGCCCAAUACACAGUCACACACCUAGUAAAAAAAAAUCACAGUCUCUCUACAAUGGCAUGCAGAGCCAUUGUUAAGUUCAGGGGAGAGGUUUACAGACUGAACCCUUGGGUAAAUGCCAGCUAGGUAUUAAGAGUCUCCAAAGUCGUUGUUCAGGAUGAACCAGACUCCUGUGGCUGUCUAUCUAAUACCAGGACCAUUGGAGAAUCUUUAUUGUUUUGCAUCUCAGCCAGACGUGGUUGUAGAAGAGCUGCAGUGUGUCUAUGUGUUGGCUCAGUAGUGUGCCUGAAGGUAACAGAUUAUUCCCAGGUGAAGAGAGGACAGGUAAAAGUGGAAACCUACAAAUUGGCAGCUCUUGUAACUCCAUGUUAUGAUAAAUAACAACAAAAAAGGUAGAAAUCAAAGUUUAAAUAACUUUUUUUUUUUAACCAUUGAGCGUUUUUCACUCUGAAUGGUUCAUUUACCAUCUACGACAUUAGAUUUGGUACAUCAUGUCCUGCUGCAUCGAUCAGGACUCGUCCUCAAACAGACAGACUCAUCAUGAUUCUAUAUAUAGUGACGUUUUGAAACAAACAAGGUGAGAAAGAAGAGUACAGACUGAGUUGACAAAACAUUAAGAACACCUGUUCUCUUUCCAUGACAGACUGACCAGGUGAAUCCAGGUGAAGGAUAUGAUCCCUUAUUGAUGACAUCUGUUAAAUCCACUUCAAAUCAGUGUAGAUGAAGGGGAGGAGACGAGUUAAAGGAGGAUUUUUAAGCUUUUAGACAGUUGAGACAUGGAUUGUGUGUGUGUGGUUUUAAGUGCCUUUUGAACGGGGUAUGGUAGUAGGUGCCAGGCGCACCGGUUUGUGUCAAGAACUGCAACGCUGCUGGGUUUUUCAAUCUCCACAGUUUCCCGUGUGAAUCAAGAAUGUUCCACCACCCAAAGGACAUCCGGCCAACUUGACACAACUGUGGGGAAGCAUUGGAGUCAACAUGGACCAGCAUCCCUGUGGAACGCUUUCUACACCUGGUAGAGUCCAUGUCCUGAUGAAUUGAGGCUGUUCUGAGGGGGAAAAUGGGAUUCAACUCAAUAUUAGGAAGGUGUUUUUAAUGUUUGUCCACUCAGUGUAAAGUCUCUUCUCAACAUUACACUGUACACUCCAGGUCUACUGUUAACCGCUUAGUAUUACAGAUCUACCUGUUAAAAUAACCGCAUUGAAGUAAUCACUCAUUCAUGAAUGACUUCCACAUUAGCAGGGUUCAGUCUAGUCCAGAAGAUCAGUUGUUAGAUUGUUUGGCUCGUCUUCCUCUUUCAGAGCAGCUAGUAAAAAGUCAAGUAGUAAUUUAUUAUGGAACAUUCUCCCACCGAGAAGCUGUUCAACACAACAUCGACUCCGUAUUGACAACCUUAAAGUGACAGUGUAGUCUGACUGCGUCUGAACCUCAACUUCACAGUUGUUGCUAAUGUAGAGCAUCGUUUGGCUUCACCACAGCCGUCUGUUAGAGAGAGUCAGAGAGUUCAGCUGGAAGCCCAGGUGGCUCCAGGUAAUUGGGAGUCAAGAGAGUUCAGCUGGAAGCCCAGGUGGCUCCAGGUAAUUGGGAGUCAGAGAGUUCGGUUGGAAGCCCAGGUGGCUCCAGGUAAUUAGGAGUCAGAGAGUUCAGUUGGAAGCCCAGGUGGCUCCAGGUAAUUGGGAGUCAGAGAGUUCAGCUGGAAGCCCAGGUGGCUCCAGGUAAUUGGGAGUCAGAGAGUUCAGGUGGAAGCCCAGGUGGCUCCAGGUAAUUGGGAGUCAGAGAGUUCAGUUGGAAGCCCAGGUGGCUCCAGGUUAUUGGGAGUCAGAGUUCAGUUGGAAGCCCAGGUGGCUCCAGGUUAUUGGGAGUCAGAGAGUUCGGUUGGAAGCCCAGGUGGCUCCAGGUAAUUAGGAGUCAGAGAGUUCAGCUGGAAGCCCAGGUGGCUCCAGGUUAUUAGGAGUCAGAGAGUUCAGUUGGAAGCCCAGGUGGCUCUGGGUAAUUAGGAGUCAGAGAGUUCAGUUGGAAGCCCAGGUGGCUCCAGGUAAUUGGGAGUCAGAGAGUUCAGCUGGAAGCCCAGGUGGCUCCAGGUUAUUGGGAGUAAACGUUCAGCUGGAAGCCCAGGUUGUUCCAGGUUAUAGGGAGUAAACGUUCAGUUGGAAGCCCAGGUGGCUCCAGGUUAUUAGGAGUCAGAGAGUUCAGCUGGAAGCCCAGGUGGCUCCAGGUUAUUAGGAGUCAGAGAGUUCGGUUGGAAGCCCAGGUGGCUCCAGGUUAUUGGGACUCAGAGAGUUCGGUUGGAAGCCCAGGUGGCUCCAGGUUAUUGGGAGUCAGAGAGUUCAGCUGGAAGCCCAGGUGGCUCCAAGUAAUUAGGAGUCAGAGAGUUCAGUUGGAAGCCCAGGUGGCUCCAGGUAAUUGGGAGUCAGAGAGUUCAGCUGGAAGCCCAGGUGGCUCCAGGUUAUUGGGAGUAAACGUUCAGCUGGAAGCCCAGGUAGUUCCAGGUUAUAGGGAGUAAACGUUCAGUUGGAAGCCCAGGUGGCUCCAGGUUAUUAGGAGUCAGAGAGUUCAGCUGGAAGCCCAGGUGGCUCCAGGUUAUUAGGUGUCAGAGAGUUCGGUUGGAAGCCCAGGUGGCUCCAGGUACUUAGGAGUCAGAGAGUUCGGUUGGAAGCCCAGGUGGCUCCAGGUUAUUGGGAGUCAGAGUUCAGUUGGAAGCCCAGGUGGCUCCAGGUUAUUGGGAGUCAGAGAGUUCGGUUGGAAGCCCAGGUGGCUCCAGGUAAUUAGGAGUCAGAGAGUUCAGCUGGAAGCCCAGGUGGCUCCAGGUUACAUGGUAGUUAUUGCCAAUAGAGGAAGAAAAGGUGAUCCAUCCAUAUUUCUAGGAUGAGAAGGCACUUUGGUGACAAGACUUAGGCUACGUCUGAAAUUACACCCUAUCCCCUAAAAAUCAGGGAAUUAGGUGCCAUUUUGGACACACCCUGGACAGUAAUAUGUAUUGAACUGGUCUAUCAUCGUCGUGGCAGAUGAGUGUGUGUGUUUUCCAGUAGCCUUUUUAUUAACUUCAUGGUCUUUGGGUCGUGCAUCCUGUCUAACAGAUCUUCUCUGGAAUGUUAAAAACUGAGGUUUUAUCCAAGGAGGUUGUGUUUCCCUGGCC